rnacentral:miRNA from 1 species
GAGGCAUUCCUCAAGCCUAUG